GAUAAUUCACAGUUCGAGUUCAUGGCAGAAAAAAGGGGAGAGAAAUCCUCGAAGCAGAAAGGUGCUUCAUCCGCAAGUAGUCCAAGGGAGUUUGACGGUUUGGUAGCCAAGAUAGUAGAAGCAUUCAGAAGGAUGGCAAAGAAGGAGCCGACGAGUUUCUGAUGGAAGUGGAAUCAGAGUGAGGCACCUAUGACCAUAAGAGUGGUCACAAAGCCCAGUGUCAUACUGUUCAGGGAAGCCCUCUGCCCUCCCUUAAUUUUCUUUGUCAUAGAAAUAAGAAGAAGAAGGUGGUAUGCAAUAUCAACCACCCACACUGCAAUGAAAUGGCCGAGGGGCUUGAUCUUUCUCCAUCUUCACAAUAUCAUGCUUAGUUUAUCUUGAAGCUGUCAUGGGUUGAAAAAAUAGUAUAGUAGGAAACAUCUAUGUAUGCUGAUCAACACAUAUGACUUGUCUUUGGUGAUGCUAUUGGAAACCCAUUUGCAGGAAGAGGGCUUUGUGAAGUUCCUUCGUCGAUUGUGACAUGUAUGGGAGGAUGCAUUUGAAGAAGAUAGAAGCAAGUAUAGUGGUAUAUUGGUGGCGUGGUACACAUACCUCACAAUUUAUUUGAUUAGUUUUUCAGGAAGAAGAAGGUAUGCUCCUAUAGAUCUUGGCCUGUAUUUAUGGGAUUAUGAUGGCUACUUCUCAUAAUCUAUUAUGGUCUUGACUAGCAAAUCUAGAAUUCAGUGAUCUACUUUGGUGUGUUUGUGGAAAUUUCAAUGUUAUUUGCAAUCCUUGUUUGUGAUAAGCUUGGUAGUCGGCCUUUUAUCUUGAAUAACAUAGUGUUAUUCUUUUAGAAUUUCGUAUCUAGAAAUAAGCGUUCUGAUCUCGGUUUCUAUGGUUGCCCAUUUACUCGGCAACAAUCAUGUUAGUUCAUCUCGGAUAUGUGCCCAUUUAGAUAGGAUACUUGUUAACCCAUAGUGGCUUUCACUCUUUCUGUUUCACACCUCCCUAAUAUAACUUAUGAUCAUGUCCUUUUGUUUUUUUGAGAUUAAUCGAACUAGUAAAUGCUAGUUAUAGAUGUCCU
rnacentral:lncRNA from 1 species